CCUACGGGGGGCUGCAGUGGGGAAUAUUGCGCAAUGGGCGAAAGCCUGACGCAGCGACGCCGCGUGAGGGAUGAAGGUCCUCGGAUCGUAAACCUCUGUCAGCAGGGAAGAACGGUCACUGUGCUAAUCAGCAGUGAAUUGACGGUACCUGCAAAGGAAGCACCGGCUAACUCCGUGCCAGCAGCCGAGGUAAUACGGAGGGUGCGAGCGGUAAUCGGAAUUACUGGGAGUAAAGCGCGCGUAGGCGGUAUGUCAAGUCAAGGGUGAAAUCCCCGCGCUCAACGUGGGAACUGCCUUUGAAACUGGCAAACUUGAGUGUGUGAGAGGAUAGUGGAAUUCCAGGUGUAGGAGUGAAAUCCGUAGAUAUCUGGAGGAACAUCAGUGGCGAAGGCGACUAUCUGGCACAUAACUGACGCUGAGGAGCGAAAGCGUGGGUAGCAAACAGGAUUAGAUACCCUGGUAGUC
rnacentral:rRNA from 1 species